rnacentral:rRNA from 1 species
UACAGAGGGUGCGAGCGUUUAAUCGGAAUUACUGGGCGUAAAGCGUGCGUAGACGGUUAUUUAAGUCGGGUGUGAAAGCCCCGGGCUCAACCUGGGAAUUGCAUUCGAGACUGAAUAGCUAGGGUACGGUAGAGGGAAGUGGAAUUUCCGGUGUAGCGGUGAAAUGCGUAGAUAUCGGAAGGAACACCAGUGGCGAAGGCGGCUCCCUGGAUUCAUACUGACACUGAGGCGCGAAAGCGUGGGGAGCAAACAGG